rnacentral:rRNA from 1 species
UACGUAGGGUGCAAGCGUUGUCCGGAAUUAUUGGGCGUAAAGAGCUCGUAGGCGGUCUGUCGCGUCGGCUGUGAAAUCCCGGAGCUCAACUCCGGGUCUGCAGUCGAUACGGGCAGACUGGAGUUCGGCAGGGGAGACUGGAAUUCCUGGUGUAGCGGUGAAAUGCGCAGAUAUCAGGAGGAACACCGGUGGCGAAGGCGGGUCUCUGGGCCACUACUGACGCUGAGAAGCGAAAGCAUGGGGAGCGAACAGG